AAUUCUCUGUGCCGAAUCCUUCCUCUGCAAUCCAUUCCUCCUCCUUCCUCUCCAAGCCAUCCUCUCCUCCCUCCCCUCGCUCGAUCUAGAUUCCUCUCUCGCUCCUGGCGGUGUUACACUCUGCCGACACGUUCCCUGCGCAUCACUGCAACUACCCGCGGUUAAUGUUGAUGCAACAAUCUCGCGGCGAGGAGUGCGUGCGGAAGGCUAGUAAGCACAUGCUGCGCGCCCUGCGGCGCGCCCGUGGCCCGUUCGAUGAAAUUCCUCGCCGGGGCGCCUCGCGGCGGCGGCUGCUGGCGCCGAGGAUGCUGUUGCGGGUGUACGUGGGCAUCCUGGCGUGCGGAGCCAGGCCCUACGCGCGCCGUUGCUCAAUGCGCGCGCCAUGGAGCCGGCUGUGGGGACGCCGUUCAUGCGCACGUCGUGGCUAAGUUUGGGCUAGAGCUCAACCUGAACGCCCACUUGCCAAAGCUCGCUGGUCCUCACGGUGAGGAGGAUAUCCAUAUGUUUUACAGAAUGCUCCAGAUGAAGUGACAGUCAUCGCUCAUCGGUGCAUAGUGAAACCAGGUGUAGUCUUUUAUAUGUUCAAUGCUUUCUUCUCUCUGGAGCCAAUUUACACUAGUUUUCCGUCCACUGAUGAAGUAAAGCACUUAAUUGUAGCAGCAAUAAUAUGCAUAGUACAAAAUUAAUUACUCACAAGAUUUGCCUUUUAUUAUGAUUGUACCUGAUGAGGGACGAGAAGCCACAAAAGCCAUUAAAGGUCAGCCUUGGGAUAUCAAGCUCCCUUGCGAUGUCACCAGUCCACCAGUGAACCAGGUCAGAUAUGAUGCAGCUAGGAGGCAAGCGCUGCUGCUCACGGAGGUACGCCAUGAGCGGCUCCUGCAGCGCAGCACAGGUCUCCAUGAAGUUCAGGAACAAAUUCUUUGAUUGGAUCAUGUCGAGGUUCUCGCACCCGGGGUAGGCCGAACUCCGCUGCCGGGAAGUGGAGCUCCACGAGCUGAACCGCCAGGCCUGCUGCCUUCACGUCAGCGGCGAAGCCCUGAUGAAGCUGACCUGCGCGCCAUGUUCUGCCAGCAGGCGUGCCAUGUCGGUCAUGGGGAUGGUAUGACCCUGAGCCAUCAUGGGUACCAGCACGAAGUGCGCCCUCGCAGAGCCGCUCGGGCCAUCACCGCUGCCGGCGAAGGUCAUGGCUGAUCGGCUGAAAUGCUAGUGGAGUCUGUCAAGCUGGGAGGGCUUGGAAGCGGUGCAAUGGCAACCGUAGUGUGUAUAUAGCACCUGGUCCUGGUGCUAUAUAUAUCUUCCUAAGUUGAGUUGACGAGCUGACGUCGGAACGAGUGCAGCGUAUCAACUUGGUCACCUCUUGCUAGUGACGCAUGCUCUAACGUCGGCCAUGUGGAUGAAUGAAUCUUCUUAAGUUCUGAACCCCUCCAGAAAGGCGGCGUCCAGGCGGUCCGGAUGAUGCUGACGUCGGAUGGCGCAGGUCAAAGAAGAGCACGCCAUUCGAUUCACUGAAUUUGGCUGCCCGGAUGAUGCUGACUUGCCGUAUGUGCGUGGUGCUACUCAAUUCUCAAGCAUGUGGAAGGCAGAGCCAGCUGGUUCUGCCAAUAAUAUGACAGGAGUGCAUUAUUUUCCAUGUGGAGAUUCAGUGUACUGUGAUCUCGUCUGUUUUUUUGACCAUAUUAGUCCUGGUCAAAGAUUACUAUGUAUGGUCUGUAUCCUCUCA